GCCAUUAACUGAUUUCUCUCUUACUUCUUCUUCCUCCUCCUCCUCGUGAACACUCCCAUUAGCUCUAGCAACGUCUCCUCCGCCUCCACCGAAGUCGCAGUUUCUACACUUGUUAGCCAUGGAGGUCGCGUAGAGACGCUCAACGAUGUUAUCUCUCCGCCGCUUCAGCUCUUGACCGUAAUCAAGAGAGGCAACGAGGAUCGCUGUGUCUAUAAAUGUCCAGACAUCGACGCCUGCGUUAUCCAUAACCGACCGAAAAUCAUCCAAAUCCAUCACCAAACGCUUCCCAAAGUUCGUUACUUUACAGAAAUAGAAAAUAAAAACAGAGGAGACGACGAGAUCUACAAAAACCGAUCUUUCUGAUGAAUUCAAUUCAUCGAGAGAUUGAAAACCCAACAGAGUUUAGACUCAAUUCAAUCGGAAUCAGAUUAAAUCCGAUGAGAAAGGCAGACCCUUUGGUUGAUGAAUCUGUGUUAUUACAGAAAAACAGAGAAGAAGAAAAAAAAAACAGAAACAGAGAAAAAUGGGAGAAGAAAGGGAAUAUUCCAAGUUUGAGUCUUUUAGAAUAUGUUUUUUUUUUCUUUUGUUCGGUAAAAAAUAUUCUUCAGACAAAACCAAUCACAAGUUAAAAGAAAAGGAGAUUUGCUUUAAUCUGGAUGCUCUUGUCCUGGACAGAGCAAAGCUGAAGCGCAAGUUGGUAUGUUCUGGUUGGGGAGAUGAACAUACAGCUAGAGAGAGAGAGAGAGAGAGAGAGGCGUGUGUUUUUCAAUAAUGGCGUUUACUUUUUUUUUAGUAUUAUUUCUUUAAUUACAUACUUUAGUUAAUGGGCCUUUAAAUUGUUGGCCCAAAAUAAGUGGAGGCGAAACGGGAAAUUAAUAAAAUAGAUGUUUAUACACAUUUAACUAAUGGGCCUUUUACUUACGGACCCAUUUAAGUGGAUGACAAUGCUUUGGAUCGAUUAUCAACGUGUACUAACUCCUGCCAUUGAUGUCUUUAUGAGCCCACUUGCUGUUUUUAGUUUAAAUCUCAGAUGGACCCAUUAGCUGGCGUAGAGGAUGCGUACUAUCAUUAAAACAUCAGAGUAAGUAUAACUAUCAUCUGACUUGCUACUUUAUGUUUAGCAUGUCUCAUUGAAUAUGUGACGCAGAGGUGCAUUAAUUGUUACUUUCUUGAAAGGUUUACUGUUGGAGACAUCUUUGGUUUACAGCUCGGCAAGACCUGGAAGGAUUCUCUAGGGUACUUGCUUCUUGUGGCUCGUAAACUCUAUAAUCAAUGGUUGGUAUGAUUAGUUCUGAAAACUUUUUAAAUUUUUUUUAGUUCAGUUUAUUGAACUGGGAACAACAAAGACUCAGUGGUUCUGACAUAUACAACGGUCAAGAGGCCGGCCAAAUCAAAGACACGGAGACAGAAGAAGCUUGUUUGAUGUGGGCUCCUCCUAUGUACUAUAUCUCAUCGGGUAAGCUUUCAGUUUAUGAACCAUUUCUUUAAUGGUGAGUCUUUGGAUAUGAAUUUGUUUAUCUAAGUGAUUAUGUUUAAGUACUAUUCUAAAUAUGUUUUACAUGUAAGGGCUGGGGUAUCAAAAUGUUUUUCAAAAGGCUAAUAACAAUGUGAUAGUGUAUCCAUUAGUUAUCUUACAGACAUUAGGAAUGUAAUGUCCCUUUCAAACAUAUUGUCAACACCUUUUCGUGAAAUUUGGACUUUUACUGGAAGCAUCCGGUGAGUUAGCAGUGGCCAUACGUCUUAAUAAUUAUCAAAUGGAUUUAUCCAACAGCCGCCAGUCAUUUUGGCUACAUGCUUGUUGGUGAUUAUCCGAGUUUAUCAAAAUCAUUUCACAAUUAAAAAAUAUUUGCAUUGAGGGUUGGUAAUUCAGCUCGUUUGUGUGUAUACCCAACUUUAUAAGUGAGCAGUCUAGUUAAGAUCAAGUCUAUCUCAUCUAUGAAUUCAUGUUUAAAUUUACAUCUGUAAAACCAAAACUAGACAAUAUAUAAUAAACAUCCCUAAACAUCAAACACUAAUUAAACAGUAAACACAUAAUACUAGUAAAAACCAAUAAUCCUUGGAAUCAAUCUCAGUCCAGUAAUAAUUACAAACUUAAGCAAAUAAUCAAUAAAUAAAAGCUAAAUUUAAAAGUGUCUCUAUUAACACCUAUCAAACCAAACUUUAUGUUUGGCCAUCAAUUUCUACAUAUUGAAAUGAGUGGUUUUAAGUCAUCUCACGAUUCAAGUCUGUAAACAUCCCCGUUCUCUUUCUAAUAAAUUUCCACCAUGCUCAUCGAUUUAUAGUAUACACUUAUAUUUUAUCAUACUCCAAUGUUUAUAAUCUAUAGUUCUUAUAAUCGAAUUAAAUUGAUUAGGUUAUGUUCUACACCCCCUAUUGAAGAUAUAACUAAUCUUAAUCUCAAUUUCUUAUGAAAAGUACUAAUAAAAAACUAAUCAUACUUGUAGUUCGUUUGUAAAAAUAAUAUAUAUAAUCAACAUUCUUUUUUGGCUAAAUUCAGGAAGAAAAUAUAUAAAAUGUGGCACCGACAGUUUAUAAUUUUAAUUUUCCAUAAGAGCAGGUGGCCCAAGGAUUUGGAGAAAAUAGUACAGAGAAUGCAAUUCCAGUCGAACAUGGAAUGUGACAUAUGAUGUUUUAACCCAUUAAUAAAUGUUUUUUUUGUUUCUCUUCUUUAAAUUCCAAUUUUAGUUUUAAGCUAACACUUUCAAAAUACGUAAGUUUCUUUCUCAACUUACUCAUAUAUCGAUUGUCGGCAAAUGUAUACAUAUGAAUGCAUAGUGUAUAUACUUGAGGUGACAUGAUAGUCUCAAUAAGUGUACAUUUUUUCCUCUCGUACCAUUUUCUAUAUGGUCAACAGUGCAUUAACAGAAGGAAAGACAAAUGUUGAAUAGUGGUGGGCGGAUCCAGUCUGAUUAUAGAUCUAGGGAAGAGUUAAUGAAUAGAAUUAUAAUAUUAAGUACGUAUUUAACGCAAGGGAAUGAAACCAUUGAUAUAAAAGAUAGUACUCACUUACAAAAUUGUAAACGGCUAAAAGGUAUAAAACCAAUGCGGUCAACAACAUCUAUACUAUAUUAAAAGGGUUAUAUGAGCAUCAGAGAGAAUGUCCACGUAGGACAAUUAAAUCAUCCAAUCAGAAGACUCCUUUUUGACAUGUCAGCACGAAUUUAUAAAUGUGGGCUUUGUUAUUUUUUUAAUCCCAGAUGUUGAUGUUAAAGUCCAUUCCCUUUGCUCUUCGCCUUCUUCGUUUCACUUUUCACGAUCUGAAAUCUGAAAGGAGAGAUUCGACGUUGUCCUUUGCUCUUCCUCUUCUUCGUUUCCUUUCAUCAUUUUCUAUAUCAAGAAAUCCAUGGCUACGUAGAUGCUAUAUCAAGAUAACCCCUUCGCUCAGACGAAUCCUUAUGUCUCUUCCUCCCCCAAUCUCUACCCUCCCGUCUCCUCGAGCCCUAACCACGACGACUCAUCCAACAACCAACCACCGUCUGCUCCGCCGCAGGCUGUGGAAGAGGUUCACAUCCGAGUCCCCGGCGCAAUCCCAACCUCAUCGACAAAUCAUACAGCGUGGAGCUCGCGUGCGGCGAUCUCACCAUCGUUCGAAUCGUGCAGGGAGAGAGCAUCGUCGCCAUUCUCGCCAACGUCGCUGACGAGAUCCAGUGGCCGUUAACGAAACGCGAGGUUGCGACCAAGGUUGAUGGAUCGCAUUACUUCUUCUCGAUCCAUCCGCCGAAGGAAUCAUGAUCCGAUUCGGAUGAUGAGAUGAUAAACUACGGAUUAACCAUUGCUUCGAAAGGGCAAGAGAACGUGUUACAUGGGCUUGAUCACGUUCUUAGGGACUAUUGCUGUUUCGUGGGGCAGAGGAUGUCUGAGAAGGCGAAGGGUGAAGAGGUGCUUGGAAACUCAAUGGCUGCUGCGAAUUUUCCCGAGGAGUUGAAGGGUGAGAGGAAGGACAUUGUGGAGGGUCAAUGCGCGGCGUAUUGGACCACGCUCGCGCCUAACAUUGAGGUUUACAGUAGCAAGACUGCUAAGAUGAUAGCUUCUUGGUCAGGUCAGCUGAUCAGAGGGAUACUUUGGUGUGGGGAUGUGACUGUGGAGAGGCUUAAGAGGGGGAACGAGGUUAUGAAGAAUAGGCUGAGUCGUGCUGAGAAGGAGAAAGAUGUUAGUCCUGAGACGUUGAGGAGAAUCAAGAGGUAUGGUGAUGUUUAAUAUCAUUUGUAGUAAGAGAUGCUUCUGUGUUCUAAAGAAAGGUUGAGACUUUUUAAUAUAUAUAUAAAUAGUCAAUGUGUUUUGUUAUGGUAGUUUUUAUUGAACGAACAAAUUGUUUGCUUGUGCUAAUUUCUAUGUAAAAGGGUUACGAGAGUGACACAAAUGACGGAGAAAGUGGCGACUGGUGUUCUUUCUGGGGUUGUCAAAGUCUCUGGACUCAUCACUGGCUCGGUGGCUAACUCAAAGGCUGGGAAGAAGUUUUUUGGCCUCUUGCCUGGAGAGAUCAUUCUUGCAUCCCUCGAUGGAUUUAGUAAGUAUAUUACUUGAUUUUGGGUUUCCCACAUUUUAUAUCCCAUGGUUGGAGGGUCUUGGACAAACUUAUUGAUCAUGAAUUGUAUUGCUUUCUUUCUUUCAUCAACAUUUACAAUCAUGCUUUUUUAUCCAUAUUUAUUUCUGAUGAUUAUUAGUUUUUUCUUUCCUAAUUACGUUUCCAGAUGACAACUUGCUAUUGGUAAGGAAACCGGUCGCAGGCUUGGAAUGCGAACCAACAUGUAUCCAUCUGCGGCUCUUCUUGGUACUGUCAAGGACUCCAACAUUGCAUCCAUUCCUGGGAGUUGAUUGAGAAGGCUGAUGGGUUUGCUAGGGUCUUUCCAGGUUAUAACUUGCUUCUUAAACCUCACCAUAUGUUCAUUCGAAAAGGCUUUGUUAUAUUGAUCCAAGCUUCUUAUCUUCUGAUUCCAGAGCACAAAUAUGAAAUUGUGAACAAGCUGCAAGAGAGGAAACACAUUGUUGGAAUGACUGGUGAUGGUGUCAAUGAUGCUCCUGCAUUGAAGAAAGCUGACAUUGGUAUUGCUGUGGCCGAUGCUACAGAUGCUGCUCGUGGUGCUUCAGAUAUUGUUCUCACUGCACCUGGAUUGAGUGUUAUCAUCAGUGCAGUGCUCACUAGCAGAGCUAUCUUCCAGAGAAUGAAGAACUACACCGUGCACAUUCUCUUAGUUUUUUUCUUACAUUAUGCCCACUAUUUGUGUUCGCUUGCACCAAUAUCUAACAUCUUUUUCUUGCUUAUGACAGAUUUAUGCAGUGUCAAUCACAAUCCGUAUUGUGGUAAGUAGACACUCCAUUUAGAUAUCUAUCUCUUAUUACCAUGAUCUUUCUUUUGUGUACUGAUUAUAUUGCGAUAUACUUUGUGCAGUUUGGUUUCAUGCUUAUUGCUCUGAUAUGGGAAUUUGACUUUUCAGCGUUCAUGGUUCUGAUUAUUGCCAUCCUUAAUGACGGUGAGCAAAUGGCUUUACUUUACUAUAUAGACUUCUAAUACUUUAUCUGCAUUAUCUUAUCUUAUGGUAUUGAUUGUUGCUAUCUUUUAGGUACCAUCAUGACAAUCUCAAAGGAUAGAGUCAAGCCAUCUCCCACACCUGAUAGCUGGAAGCUCAAAGAAAUUUUCGCCACCGGAAUUGUGCUUGGAGGUUACCAAGCCGUUAUGAGUGUUGUUUUCUUCUGGUCGAUUCACAAGACCGACUUUUUCUCCGUAAGCUUCAUCAGCUCAUUUUCUUUUCAUCUUUUGUGUAAAGAUNNNNNNNNNNNNNNNNNNNNNNNNNNNNNNNNNNNNNNNNNNNNNNNNNNNNNNNNNNNNNNNNNNNNNNNNNNNNNNNNNNNNNNNNNNUUUUAAAGUUACCUGUUGGCGAUUACCAUUACGGAUAGCUCUCUGCUGCGGUGAGUCCUCAUCAGCUAUAACGAAGAGAUUUGAGAUUUCUUUCAAGGGGAAAAGAUAAAGAACAAUGAGAUUCUUUUGUACCUAUCAAACUUGGAGGUUCGAGAUCACCAGGCGGGUUAAGUUUGACCCACUCGUCCACUGUCUCCUUCCAUUUUCUAGCAGACACAAAAGUGAGUUAGUUGUUUCUUGUUCGAAUUUGAGAUUUGAGCAAGAGAGAAAGUUCUUGUGAAUCUGAUCGUAACUUGACAAGUUUUUUAGCUAGUGUCCGAACAUCGUUCGAUGAAUGCUUCCGAACUUUAUUCACAUGCCUCCCAAUAUCAGUUUCCUAAAGCGACCAAAACAUCAUAUAAACUAUGAAUAAAGAAAGCUAAGAGAGAGUGUUAGUAUUCGAAUUUGACUUCACUACCUGGAGAGCUUGGAAUGUUAUCUCCAUAUCAUCCAGAUUCUGAAGCAGCUCAACCAAAUCUUCUUCCGACUUAAAAACAACAAACAAACCAAAACACUCUUCAAAAACUGAAACCGAAUCUAGAUUCAAGAGAGAUAUUAAGAAGACCAACCAGAUCAGGAUCUUCAAGCCUCUCCUUGAUUUCAAGAACACUCUUCUGCUCAUCAUCAAACAAACCAGCAAACGGAUCGUAACCAUCAUCCUCCUCAUCAUCAUCCUCGCCAUUAACUGAUUUCUCUCUUACUUCUUCUUCCUCCUCCUCCUCGUGAACACUCCCAUUAGCCCUAGCAACCUCUCCUCCGCCUCCACCGAAGUCGCAGUUCCUACACUUGUUAGCCAUGGAGGUCGCGUAGAGACGCUCGACGAUGUUAUCUCUCCGCCGCUUCAGCUCUUGACCGUAAUCAAGGGAGGCAACGAGGAUCGCUGUAUCUAUAAAUGUCCAGACAUCGACGCCUGCGUUAUCCAUAACCGACCGAAAAUCAUCCAAAUCCAUCACCAAAGUUCGUUACUUUACAGAAAUAGAAAAAAAAAACAGAGGAGACGACGAGAU
rnacentral:lncRNA from 1 species